rnacentral:rRNA from 1 species
UUAAUUGAAGAGUUUGAUCAUGGCUCAGAUUGAACGCUGGCGGCAGGCCUAACACAUGCAAGUCGAGCGGUAACAGAAAGUAGCUUGCUACUUUGCUGACGAGCGG